AGCGAACGCUGGCGGCAGGCCUAACACAUGCAAGUCGAACGAACUCUUCGGAGUUAGUGGCGGACGGGUGAGUAACACGUGGGAACGUGCCUUUUGGUUCGGAAUAACUCAGGGAAACUUGUGCUAAUACCGAAUGUGCCCUUCGGGGGAAAGAUUUAUCGCCAUUAGAGCGGCCCGCGUCUGAUUAGCUAGUUGGUGAGGUAACGGCUCACCAAGGCGACGAUCAGUAGCUGGUCUGAGAGGAUGACCAGCCACACUGGGACUGAGACACGGCCCAGACUCCUACGGGAUGCAGCAGUGGGGAAUCUUGCGCAAUGGGCGAAAGCCUGACGCAGCCAUGCCGCGUGAAUGAUGAAGGUCUUAGGAUUGUAAAAUUCUUUCACCGGGGACGAUAAUGGCGGUACCCGGAGAAGAAGCCCCGGCUAACUUCGUG
rnacentral:rRNA from 1 species